CGCCAGCAGCCGCGGUAAAACGUAGGAGGCGAGCGUUAUCCGGAUUUACUGGGUGUAAAGCGCGAGCAGGCGGUUCUGUAAGUGGUGUGUGAAAGCGCUCAGGCUCAACCGGGCGAGGACGCGCCAGACUGCAGGGCUGGAGGUAGGUAGAGGCGAGUGGAAUUCCGGGUGUAGUGGUGAAAUGCGUAGAGAUCCGGAGGAACACCAGUGGCGAAGGCGACUCGCUGGGCCUGACCUGACGCUCAGACGCGAAAGCAUGGGGAGCGAACGGGAUUAGAAACCCCGGUAGUCCAUGCUGUAAACGAUGUGGACUAGGUGUGGCGCCCACAAGGGGCCGUGCCGCAGCCAACGUGAUAAGUCCACCACCUGGGGACUACGGCCGCAAGGUUAAAACUCAAAGGAAUUGACGGGGGCCCGCACA
rnacentral:rRNA from 1 species